GGACACUUGCUAGAUUAACAUUCCUCAAGCCUCAGGGUGGGGCUAUGACAAGGGAGAAAUAGUUAACCUGAAAUAGUUGGUAAUGACAGGGUAGGGCACAGUGACAUGG